rnacentral:rRNA from 1 species
UACAGAGGGUGCAAACGUUGCUCGGAAUUAUUGGGCGUAAAGGGCUCGUAGGCGGCCAACUAAGUCGGAUGUGAAAUCCCCAGGCUCAACUUGGGAACUGCAUCCGAUACUGGAUGGCUUGAAUUCGGGAGAGGGAUGCAGAAUUCCAGGUGUAGCGGUGAAAUGCGUAGAUAUCUGGAGGAAUACCGGUGGCGAAGGCGGCAUCCUGGACCGACAUUGACGCUGAGGAGCGAAAGCUAGGGGAGCAAACGGG